rnacentral:rRNA from 1 species
AGAGUUUGAUCAUGGCUCAGAACGAACGCUGGCGGCGUGCUUAACACAUGCAAGUCGAGUGCGCGGUUGUAGCAAUACAACUGGCGCACGGCGCACGGGUGCGUAACACGUGGGUAACCUGCCCUUUGGUGGGGAAUAACUCCGCGAAAGCGGAGCUAAUUCCGCAUAAGAUCCGCAAGGAUGAAAGCCGCAAGGCGCCGAUGGAGGGGCCCGCGCCCGAUUAGCUAGUUGGUAGGGUAAUGGCCUACCAAGGCUUUGAUCGGUAGCUGGUCUGAGAGGAUGAUCAGCCACACUGGAACUGAGACACGGUCCAGACUCCUACGGGAGGCAGCAGUGGGGAAUCUUGCACAAUGGGCGAAAGCCUGACGCAGCGACGCCGCGUGGGGGAUGAAGCAUUUCGGUGUGUAAACCCCUUUCGAUCCGGACGAAACCCCGCAAGGGAUUGACGGUACGGAGGAAAGAAGCCCCGGCUAACUACGUGCCAGCAGCCGCGGUAAGACGUAGGGGGCCAGCGUUGUUCGGAAUUACUGGGUGUAAAGGGUUCGUAGGCGGUGCGGCAAGUUGGGAGUGAAAUCUCUGGGCUUAACCCAGAGGCUGCUUCCAAAACUGCUGUGCUUGAGUGUGGGAGAGGCGCGUGGAAUUGCAGGUGUAGCGGUGAAAUGCGUAGAUAUCUGCAGGAACACCCGUGGCGAAAGCGGCGCGCUGGACCACUACUGACGCUGAGGAACGAAAGCUAGGGGAGCAAACAGGAUUAGAUACCCUGGUAGUCCUAGCCCUAAACGAUCAGGACUUG